rnacentral:lncRNA from 1 species
AAAUUCUUCUCCUUUCAUUACUGUUAAAAACUGAUCUAAAUAGAAGUUGUAUGGACUAAAUUGGCCUUACAUUGUUUCAUAAACUUUCUAAUAACACCUGAUUAAUUACAUAAUGUAAGCCUUCAUUCAUUUGGGCUUAAUAAUAUGACGUUUGGGCCUAUUAUUGUUGGGCCCUGAUAUCUCAAGUUCCUACACUACACCUGCCAGAUUUUAACUUGCCUUUUGUUGUGGAAACAGACGCGUUUGCAGUAGCCGUGGGGGCUGUACUCAGCCAAAAGGGGCACCCGCUAUCCUUCUUCAGCAAGAAAAUGUGUCCAAGGCUCCAAGCUUCAUCUGUGUAUGUCCGAGAUAUGUAUGCAAUCACAGAAGUAGUAAAAAAAAUGGCGUCAGUACUUGUUAGGGCAACAUUUCAAAAUAAUCACAGAUAAAAAAAGUUUGAAUACACUUCAGUCACAAAAAAUACAAACUCCAGAACAACAAAGAUGGACAUCAAAGUUACAGGGAUAUGAUUUCCAAAUUCUAUACCGACCUGGUAAACAAAAUGUGGUUGCAGAUGCUCUCUCACGCCAAGACACAAAUUCGUCUUCAAUGUUGCUUGCACUCUCGUCGCCAAUACCAUUGUUGUUUGAAGAGUUACAACAAUUUUAUUCCACCAUAGAAGGAGCAAAAUUAGUUGACGCUUGCACUAAAGAUACACAAGGACCCAGCCUCUUCUCGGUCCGUCAUGGUCUACUAUUCUUUUGUCACCAAGUGUUUCUUCUAGAUACCAACAAUUUCAGAAACCGCAUCCUCCAAGAACUACAUGAAUCGCCCACAGCGGGUCAUUUCGGCAUUAACCCACCCUUGCUCGCAUUGUUGCUGCCUUCUACUGGCCGAGGUGGACUAGAGAUAUCAAGAACUACAUUCAACAAUGCACAACAUGUCAGCGUAACAAGUAUUUGCAAACAAAGCCCCAUGGAUUACUCACCAAGCGAUUCUCAGUUGAGAUUUGUCGUCUGCAUGGGCUGCCAAAAACCAUUGUCUCAGACCGAGAUCCCCUAUUUGUCAACACUUUUUGGAAACACCUAUUCAAGGCACAACAUUAAAGUUCAGUUCUGCUUACUAUCCGCAAACUGAUGGACAAACAAAAGUUCUUAAUCGAAGUUUGGAAGAUUACUUACGAUGCUUUGCUGGCGAACAUCCUCACACUUGGUUCCAAUAUCUUCAUCUAGCAGAACUUUGGCACAAUACGACUUACCACUAUGCCAUUGGAACCUCACCGUUCCAUGCUCUGUACGGAAGACAACCUCCCACCGCCCUAGAUCUGUUGCACAGUCCACGCUCAGGCACCACUGUUGCUGAUUUAUUGCACCAACACACGCUGGUUCUCCACGCCCUCAAACAAAACCUUCGUCGGGCCCGUCAACGAAUGUGCGACCAGGCCAACCGCCACCGAUCCGAACGCUCUUUUAACCCUGAUGACUGGGUAUGGGUACGUCUUCAACCUCACUGCCAGCAAUCGGUGAAGCGUCGUACAUGUUCGAAGCUCGCCCCUUGUUACUCGGGGCCUUAUCAAGUGCUCCGCCGCAUCGGCGCUAUGGCCUACGAACUCUGUUUACCAACCACCUCGCGAGUACACCCGGUAUUUCAUGUAUCCCUCCUCCAUGCUUUCAAAGGAACCCAUGUAGCCACUGACAUUAAUUCACUCUCUCACGCGGAUAGGGACUCGCCAAACUCUUUGAAUACCCCCACGCCUAACCCUAAAAGCCUUUCAAAUGUCCAACCACUUCACUCACCUAACUUUGAAACCCCUUCAGAAGAGCAAUUAAUGCCCCUAUCUAACUCUGCAUCACGUGACUCAACACUUUCCAACCAGCAUUUAAUAGCCCCACCUAACCCUGCAGAAUUUUUAAACCCGCCAUUAAGUGACUCACCUAACUCCCUGCCCCAACCACCCAUUCCAACCACUCACCAAAAGCCAUGUAAUGACCACACUACAGAUUCCCAAAUCCAAGACUUCACUCCUAACAAUUCUAUAACGUUCCAAAACAAUCCACAAAUAGGCCAGCCAAAUGUUCACCCUUUACACCCAACACAUCCUCAAGCCCAAUCCAAUAAUUACUCUUCAGCCCAAAUCAAUCCAACCACUCAAUUUGAGGACAGAGUGUUGGAACCGGCGGAUGGUACUGAUACAACAGGGCCCAACAAUAAUAGGCCCAAACGUCAGAUUAUUAAGCCCAAAUGGAUGAAGGAUUACUUUAUGUAAUUAAUCAGGUGUUAUUAGAAAGUUUAUGAAACCAUGUAAGGCCAGUUUGGCCCAUACAACUUCUAUUUAGGUCAGUUUUUAACAGUAAUUAAAGAAGAAGAAUUUUGAUGUUACCCUAGUGUUGAAUUAUCUUAGUGUAGUCGUAGAAGAAGCCUAUCAAUUGGUGCUUUCAUUGACCUUCUCAAUGCCUCCUCCUAAACCCCAAACCAAAGACCUAGAAGAAAUUCUACAAUCCAUUCAAGAACAUCUGUCAUGUAUUCAGGUGCAGAUGGAAGAUAAUCACACCUGCCAGGCAGCCAUGGAGACACAUAAUGAUUCUGUUCAAUCCACCCUCACCUUUCUCAUGAAUCAAAUUCCCUCCACACACUGAUGAAAACACAAAUCACCCCCUGGCAACACCCAAUAUAAUAGCAACCCCCUUCCACUAUCCGACCACCCAAACUCCAGUUAGCCUUUUUUGAAGGUCCUGAACCUCUAGAUUGGCUCUUCCAAGCAGAACAGUAUUUUGCGUUUUAUCAUAUUCCACCUGAACAAAGGAUUUCUAUGGUAGCUUUUCACAUGAAGGGAGAGACUCUCAGUUGGUUUAAAUGGUUGCAUCAAAGCAACCUUAUCACAGACUGGCCUUCCUUCACUCGAGCCUUGGAACUACGUUUUGGACUGUCCACCUACACUAACCAUCAAGCAGAAUUAUUCAAACUCCAGCAAACCACCACGGUAACAGAUUAUCAAUCCCGUUUUGAGAAGUUAUGCAACUGCGUAGUUGGACUCAUUUAUGAUAUUAUACUUAAUUGCUUUAUUUCGGGACUCCAACCUGAAAUCCGCAGAGAACUCUCUAUCCUCAACCCAUAUUCUGUUUCCCAAGCCAUUGGUCUAGCCAAACUCAUUGAGGACAAACUUCGUGACUCCAAACCUAGACCCCAACGUUUUCUUACCCCCCAAACAACCCAUCCUUCCCCAUAUUGCCUAACAAGAAAUCCACUAUCAACCAUCAAAUAAAUCAUUCCUUGCCCAUUAAACGCCUCACACCAACCCAGUUGCAAGAACGUCGUGUCCUUGAUUUAUGCUACAACUGUGAUGAGAAAUUUACCCCAGGGCAUAGAUGCACCACUUCUCGUUUCCUUCUUCUCUUGGAUGACUCAGACACCACGUUAGAAACUAUUGAGACUGCACCAACAAACACUGAAUGCCCAAACACCAUCCAUGUUCAUUUAUCACCCCAAGCCCUCACAGGCAACACAUCUCCCAAAACUCUAAAAUUUACCGGCACAAUCCACAACCUGCCUGUAACGGUUCUCAUUGAUUCAGGCAGCUCCCACAACAUUCUCCAGCCCCGCAUAGCUCACCACCUCCAUCUACCCAUUACACCAAGCCCCCCUUGUCAGUGAUGGUAGGAAACGGGGCCUUCAUACAAUACCAAGGGAUAUGCCCCUUAGUGGACAUCUCUCUUCAAACUUCUACAUUCACCAUUCCUUUCUAGCUAUUACCUAUUGAAGGAGCAAAUGUAGUUUUGGGUAUUGAAUGGUUGCGCACUCUAGGGCCUAUUCAGGAAGGUUUCUCUAUACCCAACAUUGCUUUCACUCACCAGAACAAACAAAUCACCUUACAAGCUGCCACUCCAUCUACCCCAAUUUUAACCACUUACCACCAAUUUUGUCAAUACCUAUCCACCCAUUCCAUUGCAUCCCUUCACCUGCUUUUAAUAGACAACAACCUGAUUCCAUCAAUGACCUUGGACUCUGACUUACAAAACCCAUCAUCUCCAUUAUAUUCCCUUCCUUUUUCCAUUCAGUCAAUUCUUCUACAAAACAAAACAAUCUUUCAAAAACCCAAAGGUUUGCCACCACCCAAACCACAUGACCACCACAUACCCCUUUUGCCUCAUACCCCACCCAUUAAUGUUAAACCAUAUCGUUAUCCCUACUCCUACAAGGAAAUUAUAACCCACCUCAUCUCUGAGAUGCUUCAAGAGGGUAAACCCAGCACAAGCCUGUCUUUUUCCCCUGUCCUCCUCAUAAAAAAAAAAGAUGGUAGUUGGCGCUUUUGUGUGAACUACAGAGCCUUAAAUGCAGCCACCAUCCGUGACCUCUUUCCCAUCCCUACCAUCGAUGAAUUGCUCGAUGAACUAGGCUCAGCUAUAGUUUUCACUAAGAUUGAUUUAUACUCAGGGUAUCAUCAAAUUAGACUUAUUCCUCAAGACACUCACAAAUCAGCUUUUAGAACCAUUGAUGGACAUUACGAAUUUUUAGUCAUGCCUUUUGGAUUGACUAAUGCACCCUCCACUUUUCAGGCAGCCAUGAAUGACCUUUCAGACCUUAUUUAUGGCAUUUUUUCAUUGUUUUCUUUGAUGAUAUUUUGAUUUAUAGUCCCAGUUUGCAGGAACAUAUUGUGCACUUAAAUAUUAUCUUAGAAGUUUUGCAUACUAAGAAAUUUUUUGCUAAGUUAUCUAGGUGCAGUUUUGCCACUUCUCAAGUAAAUUAUUUGGGCCAUAUCAUUUCGGCUAAAGGAAUAGCCCCUGAUCCAGAAAAAGUGAUUGCCAUACACAAUUGGCCGCAGCCACGUUCACUCACGGAAUUACGUGGUUUUCUCGACCUCACAGGAUUUUAUAGAAAGUUUGUUUAUCACUACGCCACUCUCGCCGCUCCUCUCACCGAUUUGUUGCAUAAUAAAAAAUUUACAUGGAGUGUCUCGGCUUAGGAGGCCUUUACAAAAUUAAAAUUACAAAUAUCUCAAGUUCCUACACUACACCUGCCAGAUUUUUCCUUGUCUUUUGUUGUGGAAACAGAUGCAUUUGCAAUAGCCGUGGGGGCUAUACUCAGCCAAAAGGGGCACCCGCUAUCCUUCUUCAGCAAGAAAAUGUGUCCAAGGCUCCAAACUUCAUCAGUGUAUGUCCGAGAAAUGCAUGCAAUCACAGAAGUAGUAAAAAAUGGCGUCAAUACUUGUGAGGGCAACACUUCAAAAUAAUCAUAGAUAAAAAAAGUUUAAAUACACUUCAGUCACAAACAAUACAAACUCCAAAACAACAAAGAUGGACAUCAAAGUUACAGGGAUAUGAUUUCCAAAUUCUAUACCGACUUGGUAAACAAAAUGUGGUUGCAGAUGCUCUCUCACGCCAAGACACAAAUCCACCUUCAAUGUUGUUUGCACUCUCGUCGCCAAUACCAUUGUUGUUUGAAGAGUUACAACAAUUUUAUUCCACCAUAGAAGGAAAAAAAUUAAUUGAUGCUUGCACUAAAGAUACACAAGGACCCAACCUCUUCUCGGUCCGUCAUGGUCUACUCUUCUUUCGUCACCAAGUGUUUCUUCUAGAUACCAACAAUUUCAGAAACCACAUCCUCCAAGAAUUGCAUAAUUUGCCCACAACGGGUCAUUCCGGUAUUAAACCCACCCUUGCUCGCAUUGAUGCUGCCUUCUACUGGCUGGGGUGGACUAGAGAUGUCAAGAACUACAUUCAACAAUGCACCACAUGUCAGCGUAACAAGUAUUUGCCGACAAAGCCCCAUGGAUUACUCCAACCCCUCCCAUUACCAGAUCAAGUGUGGGAAGAUUUAUCAAUGGAUUUUAUAACACACUUACCCGCCUUAGUAGGUCACUCGGUGAUAUGGGUCAUAUGUGAUCGCCUCACGAAGUAUGCUCACUUUGUGGCACUUUCAGAACAGUUCAAUGCCCAGCAACUUGCCAAGCGAUUCUCGGUUGAGAUUUGUCGUCUACAUGGGCUGCCAAAAACCAUUGUCUCAAACCGAGAUCCCCUAUUUGUCAGCACUUUUUGGAAACACGUAUUCAAGACACAAGGCACAACAUUAAAGUUCAGUUCUUCUUACCAUCCGCAAGCUGAUAGACAAACAAAAGUUCUUAAUCGAAGUUUGUAAGAUUACCUACGAUGCUUUCCUAGAGAACAUCCUCACACUUGGUUCCAAUAUCUUCCUCUAGCAGAACUUUGGCACAAUACGACUUACCACUCUGCCAUUGGAACCUCACCGUUCCAUGCUCUGUACGGAGGACAACCUCAAACCGCCCUAGAUCUGUUGCACAGUCCACGCUCAGGCACCACCGUUGUUGAUUUAUUGCACCAAGACACGCUGGUUCUCCACGCCCUCAAACAAAACCUUCGUCGGGCCCGUCAACGAAUGUGCGACCAGGCCAACCACCACCAAUCCGAACGCUCUUUUAACCCCGAUGACUGUGUAUGGGUACGUCUUCAACCUCACCGCCAACAAUCGGUGGAGCGUCGUACAUGUUCGAAGCUCGGCCCUCGUUACUCGAUGCCUUAUCAAGUGCUCCGCCGCAUUGACGUUGUGGCCUACGAACUCUAUUUACUAACCACCUCGCGAGUACACCUGGUAUUUCAUGUAUCCCUCCUCCGUGCUUUCAAAGGAACCCAUGUAGCCACUGAUAUUAAUUCACUCUCUCACGCGGAUAGGGACUCGCCAAACUCUUUGAAUACCCCCACGCCUAACCCUAAAAGCCUUUCAAAUGUCCAACCACUUCACUUACCUAACUUUGAAACCCCUUCAGAAG